GUGUUUAUUCUAAGUACAGUAGGUGGCAAUGCCUUAACCACAACACAUAUACGGUUAAGGCAUUGCCACCUACUUCGUGGCAUCUCUAACCAUGUUUUUUA
rnacentral:ncRNA from 1 species